rnacentral:rRNA from 1 species
AUUGAACGCUGGCGGCAGGCUUAACACAUGCAAGUCGAACGGUUUUGAGUACUUGUACUUAAGAUAGUGGCGAACGGGGUGAGUAAUGCCUAGGAAUCUGCCGAUUAAUGGGGGAUAACGUUCCGAAAGGAACGCUAAUACCGCAUACGCCCUACGGGGAAAGCAGGGGAUCUUCGGACCUUGCGUUAAUUGAUGAGCCUAGGUCGGAUUAGCUAGUUGGUGAGGUAAAGGCUCACCAAGGCGACGAUCUGUAGCGGGUCUGAGAGGAUGAUCCGCCACACUGGGACUGAGACACGGCCCAGACUCCUACGGGAGGCAGCAGUGGGGAAUAUUGGACAAUGGGCGGAAGCCUGAUCCAGCCAUGCCGCGUGUGUGAAGAAGGCCUUAGGUUGUAAAGCACUUUAAGCGGGAGGAGGCGUACCUGGGAUAAUACCCUGGAGUAGUGGACGUUACCCGC